AACUUUGCAGUCUGAGUAAACUUAAUUAAUAAAUUAAAACUUUUAACAACGGAUCUCUUGGUUCUGGCAUCGAUGAAGAACGCAGCGAAAUGCGAUAAGUAAUGUGAAUUGCAGAAUUCAGUGAAUCAUCGAAUCUUUGAACGCACAUUGCGCCCCCUGGUAUUCCGGGGGGCAUGCCUGUUCGAGCGUCAU
rnacentral:rRNA from 6 species